UACGAAGGGGGCUAGCGUUGUUCGGAAUUACUGGGCGUAAAGCGUGCGCAGGCGGCUUCUCAAGUCAGGGGUGAAAGCCCAGAGCUCAACUCUGGAACUGCCUUUGAGACUGAGAGGCUUGAGUACGGGAGAGGUGAGUGGAAUUCCUAGUGUAGAGGUGAAAUUCGUAGAUAUUAGGAAGAACACCAGUGGCGAAGGCGGCUCACUGGAUCGGUACUGACGCUGAGGUGCGAAAGCGUGGGGAGCAAACAGG
rnacentral:rRNA from 1 species